rnacentral:rRNA from 1 species
AGUGAACGCUGGCGGUAGGCCUAACACAUGCAAGUCGAACGGCAGCACAGUAAGAGCUUGCUCUUACGGGUGGCGAGUGGCGGACGGGUGAGGAAUACAUCGGAAUCUACUUUUUCGUGGGGGAUAACGUAGGGAAACUUACGCUAAUACCGCAUACGACCUACGGGUGAAAGCAGGGGAUCUUCGGACCUUUCGCGAUUGAAUGAGCCGAUGUCGGAUUAGCUAGUUGGCGGGGUAAAGGCCCACCAAGGCGACGAUCCGUAGCUGGUCUGAGAGGAUGAUCAGCCACACUGGAACUGAGACACGGUCCAGACUCCUACGGGAGGCAGCAGUGGGGAAUAUUGGACAAUGGGCGCAAGCCUGAUCCAGCCAUGCCGCGUGGGUGAAGAAGGCCUUCGGGUUGUAAAGCCAUUUUGUUGGGAAAGAAAAGCAGCAGGUUAAUACCCCGCUGUUCUGACGGUACCCAAAGAAUAAGCACCGGCUAACUUCGUG